GGGCCUGACAGACUUCAGCACUCCAGCACUUACUCCUAGAGAGGAAGAAUCCACAACAGGUCUGAAAACAGACUUCACUGAAGAAGAAAAACCCAGACGUGUUUUUGUCCUAUGAGCCAAGAGGGAAUGUGUCUAACACUGCUCAGAUAGUGAAGUGAAAUAACAACGGGACUGACAUAGCUGGUGACCACAUCCAUAUACAGUAAUGAUGCAUAUGGGCUCCCCAUGGAACCACCUGACUCCACAGGUAACUCCAACCACAGAAAUCGAAACUGCAGAUAAAGAGGGACCACUGUAUAAUGGCCACGUUUAUGUCGAGAGCCCAGGAUGUAGUUGUGUUUGCUUCCCAUGGAGAUUAUGCUUAAGCAAAGGCUGGGAGAGGUAGUUAUCUGCUCUUAUAGCAAAAUGGGAUAUGUGCUUUUUUUCCUCAGUGUUAAAUACAAUAAUUAUUUGAGCCAGGUGUGGUGGUACACACGUGUAAUCCCAGCAGGAGGUGUAGGUAGGGGGAUGGUGGCCCAAGUCUGGCCAAGCAAAAGUGCAAAACCCUACCUGAAAA